UGGGGAAUAUUGGACAAUGGGCGAAAGCCUGAUCCAGCAAUGCCGCGUGUGUGAAGAAGGCCUGCGGGUUGUAAAGCACUUUCAGUUGGGAAGAUGAUGACGUUACCAACAGAAGAAGCACCGGCUAAAUCCGUGCCAGCAGCCGCGGUAAUACGGAUGGUGCGAGCGUUAAUCGGAAUUACUGGGCGUAAAGCGCGCGUAGGCGGCUAAGUCAGUCAGAAGUGAAAGCCCCGGGCUCAACCUGGGAAUUGCUUUUGAUACUGCUUAGCUAGAGUUUGGUAGAGGAUAGUGGAAUUCCAGGUGUAGCGGUGAAAUGCGUAGAUAUCUGGAGGAACAUCAGUGGCGAAGGCGACUGUCUGGACCAAAACUGACGCUGAGGUGCGAAAGCGUGGGUAGCAAACAGGAUUAGAUACCCCCAGUAGUC
rnacentral:rRNA from 1 species